UCCCGGUGGCUCAGCAGUAAAGAAUCUGUCUGCAAUGCAGGAGAUGCAGGUUCAAUCCCUGUAUCAGGAA
rnacentral:tRNA from 1 species